UCCGGAAAUCAUUCUCUUUCCUCGGACACAGCCACGAGAAGAGUGCAGCGCUGCUGCUCCUCAUCACAGCUAAAACUAAGAAGACUGCAUCAAGUAUAUUCUGCAUCAUGAAGAUGUCGAGUCAGCUUCACCUACUACAGAUUUCACCUCCUGGUCUUAUUUCUUUUAAAGCUGCUUCAGAGGUUCUGCUUGGUCACUGAGAUGAACCAGAUUUAAUCCUUCGUCUGCUGAUCAGGAGCUGGCACAGCAGUGGAACAAACACACUGUCCUUCAUCUUCUGUGUUGAUCAGACUGUCUGUGGCUUCAUUUGAAGGGUAAGUAGAGGACACUGUCACUGACUGAGUUUACAUGCGCACUAAUCCACUAUUUUCUGAAUUUGAUGCCUUGUCUAAAUAAACUUGUCUGAAA